rnacentral:rRNA from 1 species
ACGCUCGACACCUACGGGAGGAGCAGUGGGGAAUAUUGCACAAUGGGGGAAACCCGUGAUGCAGCGACGCCGCGUGGAGGAAGAAGGUCUUCGGAUUGUAAACUCCUGUUGUUGGGGAAAAAGAGGAUGGUACCCAACAAGGAAGUGACGGCUAACUACGUGCCAGAGCGCGGUAUACUGAGCGGGCGUGGCGAAGGACG